CGCUGGGUCGUAUUUCGUUGGUUUCACGGGUCCGGCGGUCAUGAUCAAUAGGGACAGUCGGGGGCAUUCAUAUUUCAUUGUCAGAGGUGAAAUUCUUGGAUUUAUGAAAGAUGAACUAGUGCGAAAGCAUUUGCCAAGGAUGUUUUCAUUAAUCAAGGACUAAAGUCGAGGGAUCGAAGACGAUCAGAUACCGUCGUAGUCUCGACCAUAAACGAUGCCGACUAGGGAUCGGGGGUUGUUUUUCUCAUAGAGACACCCUUGGCACCUUGAGAGAAAUCGAAGUUUUUGGGUUCCGGGGGGAGUAUGGUCGCAAGGCUGAAACUUAAAGGAAUUGACGGAAGGGCACCACCAGGAGUGGAGCCUGCGGCUUAAUUUGACUCAACACGGGGA
rnacentral:rRNA from 1 species